rnacentral:tRNA from 1 species
AAUAAGAUGCCUGAUUAAAAGGACUACCUUGAUAGAAUAGAUCAUGUAAUUAUAUUACUCUUAUUA